rnacentral:rRNA from 1 species
UACGUAGGGGGCGAGCGUUGUCCGGAUUUAUUGGGCGUAAAGAGCGUGUAGGCGGCCAGGUAGGUCUGCUGUGAAAACUCGAGGCUCAACCUCGAGACGUCGGCGGAAACCAUCUGGCUAGAGUCCGGAAGAGGAGAGUGGAAUUCCUGGUGUAGCGGUGAAAUGCGCAGAUAUCAGGAAGAACACCGGUGGCGAAGGCGGGUCUCUGGGCAUCUCCUGACGCUGAGGCGCGAAAGCGUGGGGAGCAAACGGG